rnacentral:rRNA from 1 species
UACGGAGGAUGCGAGCGUUAUCCGGAUUUAUUGGGUUUAAAGGGUGCGCAGGCGGAGGCACAAGUCAGCGGUAAAAUCGCGGGGCUCAACCCCGCUCCGCCGUUGAAACUGUGUCCCUUGAGUGCGCGAAGGGUAGGCGGAAUGCGUGGUGUAGCGGUGAAAUGCAUAGAUAUCACGCAGAACUCCGAUCGCGAAGGCAGCCUACCGGCGCGCAACUGACGCUCAUGCACGAAAGCGUGGGUAUCGAACAG